GAUGAUUGAAAACAAGUUCUGUGAGGAGAAAGAGGAAAGGGGCCAGUGGGAGGAAGGCUCAUGAGAGGUUCUGACAUGCAUCCCCCCCCAGAAGGUUGGGAGUGAUUUAUUCUGGAGAAGGAACCCAGUGGAGAAAGAGAUGCUUCGGACAGGAUGGGAAAUAAGGAGCGAGCUUCUAGAGUUCUGGAGGCUGGAAGCACCAAGGUCAAAGCACCAGCAGAUGGGUGUCUGGUGAGGGCCCUCUUCCUAGUUCCUAGAGGCACCUUCUAGCAGUGUCCUCACCUGGUAAAAGGAGUGAGACAGCUCUGUGGGCCUCUUUUAUAAGGACCUCAGUCCUAUUCAUGAGAGCUCUGCCCCCGUGACCUAAUCACCUCCUAGAGGCCGCACUGCCUAAACAGUCACAUUGGUGAUCAGAUUUUAAGACACGGAUUUUGGGACGCACAAACAUUCAGACCAUAGCACUUGGACUAGGGCAGUGGCAAUGGAGAUGGACAAAAUUAAAGCGAUUCGAAAGAGAGAGUUGUUCCAUGAUGGACGUAACUCUUUUGGAUGAACAUGGGAAACCCUUUUGGUGUUUCAGUUCCCCGGUGUGCCUGAGAUCGCCUGCCACACCCUCUGACAGCUCUAGCUUCUUGGGACAGACAUACAACGUGGACUACGUUGAUGCGGAAGGAAGAGUGCACGUGGAGCUGGUGUGGAUCAGAGAGACCGAAGAAUACCUUAUUGUCAACCUGGUCCUUUAUCU
rnacentral:lncRNA from 10 species